UCCUAAUCCUUCCUAAACAGAUCCACCUACUCUGGACUAAGCAUCAAAUAUAUGAGCCUAUGGAGAUUAUUCCCAUUUAAACCACCAUAAGAACAGAGGAGAAAAGAGAUCACAAAAGACAGCAAACCAGGAAAUAGAAAAUCUAAAAGCAAAAUCUACUUAGAACCAAAUCUUAAAAACCAUCUGUAUCAGUAGGGAACUACUGACCAAUGAUAGGCACUGCAUUUUACAGUAGGGUCUGCCUUUAUUUUCUGUCCAGCUGAAAUACAAGGAUAAAUUCACUUUGUGUCUGCAAAUAGAAAAGAAAAGAAAAGAAAAGGAAAGAAAAGAAAAGAAAAGAAGAGAAGAGAAAACAAACCACAAUGAUUCAAAACCUAAGCAGCCUCUUUUCAGUGUUCUGUUUACCAUUCUGUCUGCCUUUCUCUCUCUCUCUCUCUCUCUCUCUCUCUCUCUCUCUCUCUCUCUCUCUCUCUCUCUCUCUCUCUCUCUCUCUCCAGCUUCCCCAAAGCAAAAGUAAAAUUCCAACUGUUAGAUCUAAGAUUAGAGUCACUCAAACCAAUGAAUAAAAUGUGCAACCUUAAAAAGGGAGGAAACUUAGGAAGCACAGAAACACAGAUGUCCUUUGGGUGAUGGAGUCCUAAUAAGGGCUAGCCCAGAGUGAGACAAAACAGCUUGAUCGUUACUCACAGUGUUUUCCCUCCAUGUGAACACAAUAAUCUCCUGUCUGUUAGAUUGUGUACAAUUGUACCUGCUAGAUCUUUUCAGUAGCUAAGACGUAGUAUUUUGAAAUGAGGAAAACUUCCAAAAUGGUCUUAGAGCUGUAGGCUACUACAGGGCUUUGUUGGAUUCUUUUGACUUCUGGAAAUCAAUGGCCAGGAGGCAAGAAGAACAUGGAUUGAAAAAGGAGAACUCAGUAGAUUGAGAACUCUACAGUGAUAUGUAGAAAGUUGGGCAGUUCAGUUGAGGAACCGCUCCUGAAAAAAAAAAAUUACAACUGAAGACAUGGAGGAUCUUGAAAGUUCUGGAUGAUAUUCAUGUGUACAAAUAAUAUGUAUUAGGUUAACUAUAAUAAUCUAGAUAGUUUACAGUGUUUUCUCUACUGAGUCUGUAUGUAUGACUCAUUGCUGGCACUGCACCAUGGGCCAUUGUGGCAUAUAUAUUCAAGACUUCACACUUAUGUUUAGUGGUAUUUGUACAACAUAUUUGAAUCUAACUGAUUUUGAGCAAUCUAUUCUCUUUUUUUUUUUAUUUCGUAUUUUCCUCAAUUACAUUUCCAAUGCUAUCCCAAAAGUCCCCUAUACCCUCCCCACACUCCCCUACCCACCCAUUCCCACUUUUUGUCCCUGGCAUUCCCCUGUACUGGGUCAUAUAAAGUUUGUGUGUCCAAUGGGCCUCUCUUUCCAGUGAUGGCCGACUAGGCCAUCUUUUGAUACAUAUGCAGCUAGAGACAAGAGCUCCGGGGUACUGGUUAGUUCAUAAUGUUGUUGCACCUACAGGGGAGCAAUCCAUUCUCUAAAGAACUAAAUUCCUGAUUCUAACAACCAAGUUUACAAUCAUAUUUUAGUGCAUAAUGUGUUUUUAAAUAGAGCUAUGCCACUGAAAUAAAAUUAUUGAGACAUGAAGAGAUUAAGCCACCAAGCUGGACUAUACAAUAUGAAGAGUUUGGAAAUAAAAUAUUUGUAAAUUCUAUGGCAGGAACAAGAAACAAGGAGAAUUGUUUCCAACCACCUACAUCAAAUCAAGGGCUCCAAAAUCAAGCCACAUAAAACCAUGGGAAUCUACAUUGUUUGUUCUAAAGUAAGAAAAUCUAACAAAACAAAACAAAAACCCUCUAAAUGCACACACAAGAAAGGAACUAGUAUUUCAUGCCCGUCAGAUCCUAGAUGAGUUAGUUCUGCAACAAUGUCAUGGGGGCCUCAUUAGCUCAACUGUUCAUGCUGAGAUGCCCAGGCUCAGAGAGGGUAAGUAAUUAGCUCAGGCACACAAAGCUAGUACUUAAAGCAGCUAGGACUCAAACCGCAGGUCUGACUGUUCUGUCUCUUGGGGCUCAUAUAUUAUUCCAAUCACUUUGUUGCAUUUUGCAAAUGCAUUUUAAAACGGUUCCUCUAAUACUUUGUAAUGUUUGUUUUUGAGACCUGUUUGAACACAUAUCCUGG
rnacentral:lncRNA from 1 species